GUCAACAAAAGAAAGAGUCUAUGUCUGCUCUCCUUACAGGAAUCUUUGCUCCUGAGAGUCAGAAGGCUGUGGAGAGGCUGUUGUACAAGCAACAGAGCAGUUCAUUGUGUCUUCACAGAUCUUUAAGACUUUUCAUCUCUCCACAUAUUUUUCUGGUGAUAAAGGAAGGGCUGCACUGCUCUUCCCAUCCAAUCUCCUCCCUGCUGUAGGAGACAUGGAAAGCUAAGAUAGGCAGGCCAUCCACACUCUGACUUCCCUUGCACCCAGAAGUAAGAAGUUUCCAUGCUGAGAGGUGGAGCUGAAGAAUCUCCCUUGAUAGUCUGUGAACCUGCAACCAUA